rnacentral:rRNA from 1 species
UUAGGACGAACGCUGGCGGCGUGCCUAAUACAUGCAAGUCGAACGGUCUUUUCUAUGGAAGCUUGCUUCCACUGAGAAGAUAGUGGCGAACGGGUGAGUAACACGUGGGUAACCUGCCCAUAAGAGGGGGAUAACAUCCGGAAACGGGUGCUAAUACCGCAUAGUUUUCUUGAUCGCAUGAUCGGGAAAGGAAAGACGGCCUUUGUGCUGUCGCUUAUGGAUGGACCCGCGGCGUAUUAGUUAGUUGGUGAGGUAACGGCUCACCAAGACGAUGAUACGUAGCCGACCUGAGAGGGUGAUCGGCCACAUUGGGACUGAGACACGGCCCAAACUCCUACGGGAGGCAGCAGUAGGGAAUCUUCCGCAAUGGACGAAAGUCUGACGGAGCAACGCCGCGUGAGUGAAAGAAGGUUUUCGGAUCGUAAAACUCUGUUGUCAGAGAAGAACAAGUUGGAGAGUAACUGCUCCAGCCUUGACGGUAUCUGACCAGAAAGCCACGGCUAACUACGUGCCAGCCGCCGC